rnacentral:tRNA from 1 species
GUCCAGGGUAGCCUAGUGGACAUGGCAUCUGCCCGGUAAGCGGAACAUUGUGGGUUCGAUUCCCAUCCCUGGGCA